CUUGAUCCAUAUCUUAUAGGAACUCUGAGGCAGAGACAGGGACAGAAUCCAGAUCCCCAAGAAUAGGUCCAUCCUGCACACUGAACAAGGCAAGAAUCCUGUGGGGGAGGAAAUAGUAUCUCAUCAUUUAAUUAAAAUCUGCCUCAUAAAGCAUGUGCAGAAGGAAGGCAAAUUAAGGCUACACAGUUCAUAGGUUUGUUGCAAGAGAGAAAACGGAACUCUAUCAUGCAGCAUCACAGAGACAUCCACAACAGGCUUGGAACCUCUAGACCCCUGACAGAGACUUUUGACAACUGGAACAAAUACUGAUGCCAGCUGCCAUUCUCUCUAAGGGCCAGAACUAAAGAGGGAUGGGACAAAUACUUUGUCAGUAAGAAAAAUACUUUCAUCUAUAUGUUUAUAGCAGAAGUUUGGUGAAACUCAGAAACUGAGGCUGCUAUUCCAGGCUUUGGAGGAGAGCGGGUUCCAAUGUGUUCAGAAUCUUCUGCCCAUUCUCUCCCCAGUCUUGACCUCUUCAGCUGGUCUGAUUCAGUCCUGCCUCUUCCCUGCCCCUGGCUUGCCUCAGUUCCAGCAUAGUCCCAAACUCCACUCAUGAGGUGUCUCAUUUCAGUCUCAGUCUUCUUGGCCAGAUAUACUUCUAAGUCAACACCUCCAAGCUGACUGCUCAAGACUCUCCUCCUUCUCACUCCUCCUCCUGAACUCAUUGCCAGCCAACUCCAACCUCUUUGUCCUCAACCACCAUCUCCCUGGCUCUUUACCAAGACAGAUUUUGUUCUUUCCAUACUCUGCCUUGUCCAAUCCAUUUCUUCACAACACCAACACCUUACAGCAUUCCAAUAACAUACUCAAUGACACUGAAAGAACCAGUCAACCCUCAAAUCUCUCCACACACACACAUACCAAAGCUGAAAAAUCAAUUUUUCUGAUGCCUCCAUCUCAAGGACUAUUUCCACAACCAAAACAAAUCCACUUUCAACAACACUUCAUCUUUUGACAACAUCAAGGAAAAGAUGAACCCCCAAAAAACAAAAAAAAAUCCCCAUCAGAUUGGACACCUCACAGUGAAUGAAAUUCAAACCUUGACCGCUAUAUUGACUGCUUCUGGGAAAGAAUGAACGAUGAAACAAUCAACCACAAACACUACCAUAACAACCGCUCCUUCUCAAAAAGAAGGGCCAUAGACUCUCUACGAUCCAACCGCCAAAUGCUAAUAAAACCAGCAGAUAAAGGAGGAGCUAUAGUUAUUCUUAACUGUGAAGACUACAUAAAAGAAGCCAACAGACAACUUUCUGAUCACUGACUACGAAAAACUAGAGGAAAAUCCAACUCCCCUUUUCACUGUAAAACUCAAAACCACCAUCAAAUA